GACGAACGCUGGCGGCGUGCUUAACACAUGCAAGUCGAACGGAAAGGCCCUGCUUUUGUGGGGUGCUCGAGUGGCGAACGGGUGAGUAACACGUGAGUAACCUGCCCUUGACUUUGGGAUAACUUCAGGAAACUGGGGCUAAUACCGGAUAGGAGCUCCUGCUGCAUGGUGGGGGUUGGAUAGUUUCGGCGGUUGGGGAUGUACUCGCGGCUUAUCAGCUUGUUGGUGGGGUAGUGGCUUACCAAGGCUUUGACGGGUAGCCGGCCUGAGAGGGUGACCGGCGACAUUGGGACGGAGAUACGGCCCAGACUCCUACGGGAGGCAGCAGUGGGGAAUAUUGCACAAUGGGCGGAAGCCUGAUGCAGCAACGCCGCGUGCGUGAUGACGGCCUUCGGGUUGUAAACCGCUUUCGCCUGUGACGAAGCGUGAGUGACGGUAAUGGGUAAAGAAGCACCGGCUAACUACGUG
rnacentral:rRNA from 1 species